UACACUCCUACGGGAGGCAGCAGUAGGGAAUCUUCCACAAUGGGUGCAAACCUGAUGGAGCAAUGCCGCGUGAGUGAAGAAGGUCUUCGGAUCGUAAAGCUCUGUUGUUAGAGAAGAACACGUGCUAGGUAACUACUAGCGCCUUGACGGUAUCUAACCAGAAAGUCACGGCUAACUACGUGCCAGCAGCCGCGGUAAUACGUAGGUGACAAGCGUUGUCCGGAUUUAUUGGGCGUAAAGGGAGCGCAGGCGGUCUGUUUAGUCUAAUGUGAAAGCCCACGGCUUAACCGUGGAACGGCAUUGGAAACUGACAGACUUGAAUGUAGAAGAGGAAAAUGGAAUUCCAAGUGUAGCGGUGGAAUGCGUAGAUAUUUGGAGGAACACCAGUGGCGAAGGCGAUUUUCUGGUCUAACAUUGACGCUGAGGCUCGAAAGCGUGGGGAGCGAACAGGAUUAGAUACCUCAGUAGUCCCAUGA
rnacentral:rRNA from 1 species